rnacentral:rRNA from 1 species
UGAGGAAUAUUGGUCAAUGGACGAGAGUCUGAACCAGCCAAGUAGCGUGCAGGAUGACGGCCCUAUGGGUUGUAAACUGCUCUUGUUUGGGAAUAAUCGACAUUACGUGUAAUGUUUUGCAUGUACCAUUCGAAUAAGGACCGGCUAAUUCCGAGCCAGCAGCCGCGGUAAUACGGAAGGUCCAGGCGUUAUCCGGAUUUAUUGGGUUUAAAGGGAGUGUAGGCGGUUGGUUAAGCGUGUUGUGAAAUGUAGAUGCUCAACAUCUGACUUGCAGCGCGAACUGGCUGACUUGAGUACACACAACGUAGGCGGAAUUCAUGGUGUAGCGGUGAAAUGCUUAGAUAUAAUGAAGAACUCCGAUUGAGAAGGCAGCUUACGGGAGUGUUACUGACGCUUAAGCUCGAAGGUGCGGGUAUCGAACAGG